rnacentral:rRNA from 1 species
CCCUACGGACGCAGCAGUGGGGGAUAUUGCACAAUGGGGGAAACCCUGAUGCAGCGACGCCGCGUGAGUGAAGAAGUAUUUCGGUAUGUAAAGCUCUAUCAGCAGGGAAGAAGAUGACGGUACCUGAGUAAGAAGCCCCGGCUAACUACGUGCCAGCAGCCGCGGUAAUACGUAGGGGGCAAGCGUUAUCCGGAUUUACUGGGUGUAAAGGGAGCGUAGACGGUUAUGUAAGUCUGGAGUGAAAGCCCGGGGCCCAACCCCGGGACUGCUUUGGAAACUGUGUAACUAGAGUACAGGAGGGGCAG